rnacentral:rRNA from 1 species
AUUGAACGCUGGCGGCAUGCUUUACACAUGCAAGUCGAACGGCCGCGCGGGCUUCGGCCUGGCGGCGAGUGGCGAACGGGUGAGUAAUGCAUCGGAACGUGCCCAGUAGUGGGGGAUAGCCCGGCGAAAGCCGGAUUAAUACCGCAUACGACCUGAGGGUGAAAGCGGGGGACCGAAAGGCCUCGCGCUAUUGGAGCGGCCGAUGUCGGAUUAGCUAGUUGGUGGGGUAACGGCUUACCAAGGCGACGAUCCGUAGCUGGUCUGAGAGGACGACCAGCCACACUGGGACUGAGACACGGCCCAGACUCCUACGGGAGGCAGCAGUGGGGAAUUUUGGACAAUGGGGGCAACCCUGAUCCAGCCAUGCCGCGUGCGGGAAGAAGGCCUUCGGGUUGUAAACCGCUUUUGUUCGGGAAGAAAUCCUCUGGGCUAAUACCCCGGGGGGAUGACGGUACCGGAAGAAUAAGCAACGGCUAACUACGUG